UACGAAGGGGGCUAGCGUUGUUCGGAUUCACUGGGCGUAAAGCGCACGUAGGCGGAUUGUUAAGUCGGGGGUGAAAUCCUGGAGCUCAACUCCAGAAUUGCCUUCGAUACUGGCUUUCUAGAGGCUGGAAGAGGUUAGUGGAAUUCCCAGUGUAGAGGUGAAAUGCGUAGAUAUUGGGAGGAACACCAGUGGCGAAGGCGGUCCCCUGGGCCAACACUGACGCUGAGGCGCGAAAGCUAGGGGAGCAAACAGG
rnacentral:rRNA from 1 species